UCGCUUUGUAAGUUCCAAGUCUCAACACACAGUGACAACAUGCUGGUGACUCUCUGUGCUCUCAUCACUGCUCUAACAUGUGUGAGUGGUGUGACGGUGCUGACACAGAAACCUCCUGUUCUAUCAGUGAGGAAAGGAGAGACAGCCACCAUGGACUGUAACCUGGGGACUGUUACUGACUAUGUAUAUUGGUAUAAACAGAUUCCAGGAGGAGUUCCUCAGUUUGUGCUGUAUUUUCGUUAUGACUCUAGUUCUCCAAGCUAUGGUUCUGGGUUCUCCUCUCCAAAAUUCACAUCCACUCAUCAGUCAACAAAAGAUUAUCGUUUGAUCAUCAACAAUGUGGAGGAGGGAGACUCUGCAGUCUAUUACUGUAAGACAUGGGACAGCAAUAAUGCUGUAUUCGGACAAGGCACCAAGUUGGUUAUGACAAGCUCCAGCCUCCCUCCUCCUGUCCUGACAGUCUUCCCUCCGUCCAGUGCUGAGCUCCAGUCCGACACAGCUUCUCUGGUCUGUCUGUCCAGUCAGUCUGUGUCUUUU